GCUUACUGUGCGAUGGGGCGGAGCUAAAAGUGCAGUGUAACUGCUGCAGGGGAAGCAGGAAGGAGUCCCUGCUUCCCCCAACAACCAAAAUACAGGAGCUGCACUGCCUGUCUGCCGCCACAAGGAACAGAGGUAACUAUGUGUGAUUGUCUGUCUGUGUGUGACUGUCUGCCCUUUUUUGUGUGGGUGUGUGACUGUCUGUGUGUUUGACUGUCUGCCUGUGUGUGAGACUAUCUGCCUGCCUGUGUGAGUGACUGCCUAUGUGUGUGUGUGUGACUGCCUAUGUAUGACUGAGCAGACUAGAUGGGCUGAAUGUUUCUUAUCU